UACGUAGGCAGCAAGCGUUGUUCGGAGUUACUGGGCGUAAAGGGUGCGUAGGCGGCCCUGUAAGUAUGGUGUGAAAUCUCCCGGCUUAACUGGGAGGGUGCGCUAUAGACUGCGGGGCUCGAGUGUGGGAGAGGAAAGUGGAAUUCCUGGUGUAGCGGUGAAAUGAGUAGAUAUCAGGAGGAACACCGGUGGUGUAAACGGCUUUCUGGACCAUAACUGACGCUGAGGCACGAAAGCGUGGGUAGCAAACAGG
rnacentral:rRNA from 1 species